rnacentral:rRNA from 1 species
CCAAGGAGUUUAGCGUGUGCGCGAGUCAUUGGGUGUCCAAACCUAAAGGCGUAAUGAAAGUGAAGGAAACUUCGUUUUCGAGGGAGGAUGGGUUAGGUUCCUAAUACUGGACCGGCCUCGCACUCCCGGGGCGUCUCUAUCUCAUCGCGAGAGGAGGCGCACCUAGAGCGUACACGCUGAUACCCGAAAGAUGGUGAACUAUGCCUGGCCAGGACGAAGCCAGGGGAAACCCUGGUGGAGGUCCGUAGCGAUUCUGACGUGCAAAUCGAUCGUCGGAGCUGGGUUUAGGGGCGAAAGACCAAUCGAACCAUCUAGUAGCUGGUUCCCUCUGAAGUUUCCCUCAGGAUAGCUUGCGCUCGGAAACAACGAGUCUCAUCCGGUAGAGCGAAUGAUUAGAGGCCUUGGGGUCGAAACGACCUCAACCUAUUCUCAAACUCCAAAUAGAUGAGAACCCCGGCUUUCUUGAACUUUGUUUAUGAAGCCGGGGGCUCGGAUCAGAGUGCCAAGUGGGCCAAUUUU